rnacentral:rRNA from 1 species
GCAUAUCAAUAAGCGGAGGAAAAGAAACUAACAAGGAUUCCCCUAGUAGCGGCGAGCGAAGCGGGAAGAGCUCAAAUUUAUAAUCUGGCACCUUCGGUGUCCGAGUUGUAAUCUCUAGAAAUGUUUUCCGCGUUGGACCGCACACAAGUCUGUUGGAAUACAGCGGCAUAGUGGUGAGACCCCCGUAUAUGGUGCGGACGCCCAGCGCUUUGUGAUACAUUUUCGAAGAGUCGAGUUGUUUGGGAAUGCAGCUCAAAUUGGGUGGUAAAUUCCAUCUAAAGCUAAAUAUUGGCGAGAGACCGAUAGCGAACAAGUACCGUGAGGGAAAGAUGAAAAGCACUUUGGAAAGAGAGUUAACAGUACGUGAAAUUGUUGGAAGGGAAACGCUUGAAGUCAGACUUGCUUGCCGAGCAAUCGGUUUGCAGGCCAGCAUCAGUUUUCCGGGAUGGAUAAUGGUAGAGAGAAGGCAGCAGUUUCGGCUGUGUUAUAGCUCUCUGCUGGAUACAUCUUGGGGGACUGAGGAACGCAGUGUGCCUUUGGCGGGGGUUUCGACCUCUUCACACUUAGGAUGCUGGUGGAAUGGCUUUAAACGACCCGUCUUGAAACACGGACC